rnacentral:rRNA from 1 species
GACGAACGCUGGCGGCGUGCUUAACACAUGCAAGUCGCGCGAUGAAGCUUCUUCGGAAGUGGAUUAGCGGCGGACGGGUGAGUAACACGUGAGUAACCUGCCUCAUAGAGGGGAAUAGCUCUCCGAAAGGAAGAUUAAUACCGCAUAAGAUUGUAAUAUCGCAUGAUAUAGCAAUUAAAGGAGCAAUCCGCUAUGCAAUGGACCCGCGUCGUAUGAGUUAGUUGGUGAGGUAACGGCUCACCAAGGCGACGAUGCGUAGCCGUCCUGAGAGGGUGAUCGGCCACAUUGGGGCUGAGACACGGCCCAGACUGCUACGGGAGGCAGCAGUGGGGAAUAUUGCACAAGGGGGGAAAGCCUGAUGCAGCAACGCCGCGUGAGUGAUGACGGUCUUCGGAUUGGACAGCUCUGUCUUUAGGGACGAUAAUGACGGUACCUAAGGAGGAAGCCACGGCUAACUACGUGCCAGCCGCCGCGGUAA